UGGGGGGUGGUAAGGGGAAUUCCCUAUGAAGAUGCUCUAGGUCUUCAUGUUUGGACCCUGCAAUAUAUCCAAAUUUAUGGUCAAUCAAGGUUUGGCCUCGGAUCUAGGAGUAGACUAGAGGCCCAGAGUAUACUAAGGCAGUCUCAAGGUGGCCUCUUUUCUCAGAUAUAAACUUGGUUUUAUCUCAAUCCUUUGGCUCAUUCCUUAGCCUUUUCUUUUAAGAUUCAAACUCCAUCAUGGUAAUCCACAAGGACAUUUAAGGCGAUUUAUGCAUAAGGAGCCACUACUAAUGAAAUAUUACAGAUACG
rnacentral:lncRNA from 1 species